rnacentral:sRNA from 1 species
UUAAAGUUGGUUCUCUCAAUCGAUUGAUUUAUGGUUUUGGCAAAAAAAGAGAAAAUGAGCUUCGAGAGUAUAAGAGCAUCUUCAUCAGUAGUCUAUCACAUAGUUUCUUAUUAACUAAAAAAUAUAAAAUAAUAAUAAAGUAGGAGAAAGAUAGGAGAGAAAUUGAGAAUAGUUUAUCUACAGAGAAACUUUACAGUAAUGAUUGAGAGACUAUGUGUAUAUGUGUGUAUUUAUAAUUGGACAGAAGCUAAAUCAUAAUAAAAUAUCAUUAUUU